GUCCAGGGGCGGGAAUCGAACCCACAACCUUCCGCAUACCGGGCAGAUGCCAUGUCUACUAGGCUACCCUGGA
rnacentral:tRNA from 1 species